UACGUAGGUGGCAAGCGUUAUCCGGAAUUAUUGGGCGUAAAGCGCGCGCAGGUGGUUUCUUAAGUCUGAUGUGAAAGCCCACGGCUCAACCGUGGAGGGUCAUUGGAAACUGGGGAACUUGAGUGCAGGAGAGAAGAGUGGAAUUCCACGUGUAGCGGUGAAAUGCGUAGAGAUGUGGAGGAACACCAGUGGCGAAGGCGACUCUUGGCCUGUAACUGACACUGAGGCGCGAAAGCGUGGGGAGCAAACAGG
rnacentral:rRNA from 1 species